rnacentral:rRNA from 1 species
GCAAGUCGAACGCUUCUUUCCUCCCGAGUGCUUGCACUCAAUUGGAAAGAGGAGUGGCGGACGGGUGAGUAACACGUGGGUAACCUACCCAUCAGAGGGGGAUAACACUUGGAAACAGGUGCUAAUACCGCAUAACAGUUUAUGCCGCAUGGCAUAAGAGUGAAAGGCGCUUUCGGGUGUCGCUGAUGGAUGGACCCGCGGUGCAUUAGCUAGUUGGUGAGGUAACGGCUCACCAAGGCCACGAUGCAUAGCCGACCUGAGAGGGUGAUCGGCCACACUGGGACUGAGACACGGCCCAGACUCCUACGGGAGGCAGCAGUAGGGAAUCUUCGGCAAUGGACGAAAGUCUGACCGAGCAACGCCGCGUGAGUGAAGAAGGUUUUCGGAUCGUAAAACUCUGUUGUUAGAGAAGAACAAGGACGUUAGUAACUGAACGUCCCCUGACGGUAUCUAACCAGAAAGCCACGGCUAACUACGUGCCAGCAGCCGCGGUAAUACGUAGGUGGCAAGCGUUGUCCGGAUUUAUUGGGCGUAAAGCGAGCGCAGGCGGUUUCUUAAGUCUGAUGUGAAAGCCCCCGGCUCAACCGGGGAGGGUCAUUGGAAACUGGGAGACUUGAGUGCAGAAGAGGAGAGUGGAAUUCCAUGUGUAGCGGUGAAAUGCGUAGAUAUAUGGAGGAACACCAGUGGCGAAGGCGGCUCUCUGGUCUGUAACUGACGCUGAGGCUCGAAAGCGUGGGGAGCAAACAGGAUUAGAUACCCUGGUAGUCCACGCCGUAACGAUGAGUGCUAAGUGUUGGAGGGUUUCCGCCCUUCAGUGCUGCAGCAAACGCAUUAAGCACUCCGCCUGGGGAGUACGACCGCAAGGUUGAAACUCAAGGAAUUGACGGGGGGCCCGCACAAGCGGUGGAGCAUGUGGUUU